rnacentral:lncRNA from 1 species
UAUGUGAUGAGUGCGAGGGCCAGAGAUAUCUGGGCUAGCAACGCAUAUGAGUACGAGAGCCCAGAGAGAUCUGGGCUAGCGAUGCAUAUGAGUACGGGGGCCCAGAGAAAUCUGAGCUAGCGACGUAUAGAGUGUGGGGGCACAGAGACAUCUAAGCUAGCAACACAUAUGUGAUGAGUACAGGGGCCCAGAGACGUCUGAGCUAGCAACAUAUAUAUUGUGUGGUGCGGGGUGCAGAUACGUUUGCAUAUUUGUGGAGUGCGGGGGUCCAAAGAUGUCUGGACUAGCGACGCAUAUUUUAUAAUUGUAUAUUCGUAUGAGGAGAAAGCAGGGUGUGUGGACUAGCUAUGUACCUUCAGCGCAUUGCUUGUUUUGUGUGAUGUGCUAGGCAUCAUGUUUGUUCAUGUUAGAGCUAAACUUCCAUAGUGGGAGUUCUAUUUAUCUGAGUCAGUGGCUUGCGGUUUAGCAUCUCAUACCUCACAGAGUGACUCCCCUGUUACUCACUCCUCUUUUUUCCCGUUGCAGGUGAGCUUGCCGAGUAGCUGGAUAUUUUGACGGUUUGGUGUAUUUGGGAUAAUGUAUUUAUUUCGGUUUUUAAGUUAAUGAUUUAUACGACGUUUACUAUUUAUUUCACAUCUUUUAUAAUUCAAUUUAAGGAUGUAUUUUUAUUGAAUUUAUUUUAUUAAAUAUUUUUGUAUUUUAGGUUCCGAAUAACUCGGUUUAAUUCGAUAUUUUACCGGUAGUAACAUGCCGUUCUCGAGAGAGGAGGAGAUAGGUGUUACAACCUCAACGUUUGGUUUCUUCCCUUUCAGUCCUUUGUAUAGAGUUUUUCCAAUUAACGAUCUUGUUGCAAUCUUGCCAUGAAACUCCAGCUUCACGAUUGCGUUGUUUUAGCUGUUUGAUGCAUAGUUUUUGAUAGCUUCUCGUUUUUUU